UGAACGCUGGCGGCAGGCCUAACACAUGCAAGUCGAGCGGUAGAGAGAAGCUUGCUUCUCUUGAGAGCGGCGGACGGGUGAGUAAUGCCUAGGAAUCUGCCUGGUAGUGGGGGAUAACGUUCGGAAACGGACGCUAAUACCGCAUACGUCCUACGGGAGAAAGCAGGGGACCUUCGGGCCUUGCGCUAUCAGAUGAGCCUAGGUCGGAUUAGCUAGUUGGUGAGGUAAUGGCUCACCAAGGCGACGAUCCGUAACUGGUCUGAGAGGAUGAUCAGUCACACUGGAACUGAGACACGGUCCAGACUCCUACGGGAGGCAGCAGUGGGGAAUAUUGGACAAUGGGCGAAAGCCUGAUCCAGCCAUGCCGCGUGUGUGAAGAAGGUCUUCGGAUUGUAAAGCACUUUAAGUUGGGAGGAAGGGCAGUUACCUAAUACGUGAUUGUUUUGACGUUACCGACAGAAUAAGCACCGGCUAACUCUGUGCCAGCAGCCGCGGUAAUACAGAGGGUGCAAGCGUUAAUCGGAAUUACUGGGCGUAAAGCGCGCGUAGGUGGUUUGUUAAGUUNGGAUGUGAAAUCCCCGGGCUCAACCUGGGAACUGCAUUCAAAACUGACUGACUAGAGUAUGGUA
rnacentral:rRNA from 1 species